rnacentral:rRNA from 1 species
CGAACGCUGGCGGCGCGCCUAACACAUGCAAGUCGAACGAGCGAGAGAGAGCUUGCUUUCUUGAGCGAGUGGCGAACGGGUGAGUAACGCGUGAGGAACCUGCCUCAAAGAGGGGGACAACAGUUGGAAACGACUGCUAAUACCGCAUAAGCCCACAGGUCGGCAUCGACCAGAGGGAAAAGGAGCAAUCCGCUUUGAGAUGGCCUCGCGUCCGAUUAGCUAGUUGGUGAGGUAAUGGCCCACCAAGGCAACGAUCGGUAGCCGGACUGAGAGGUUGAACGGCCACAUUGGGACUGAGACACGGCCCAGACUCCUACGGGAGGCAGCAGUGGGGAAUAUUGCACAAUGGGGGAAACCCUGAUGCAGCGACGCCGCGUGGAGGAAGAAGGUCUUCGGAUUGUAAACUCCUGUUGUUGAGGAAGAUAAUGACGGUACUCAACAAGGAAGUGACGGCUAACUACGUGCCAGCAGCCGCGGUAAAACGUAGGUCACAAGCGUUGUCCGGAAUUACUGGGUGUAAAGGGAGCGCAGGCGGGAAGACAAGUUGGAAGUGAAAUCUAUGGGCUCAACCCAUAAACUGCUUUCAAAACUGUUUUUCUUGAGUAGUGCAGAGGUAGGCGGAAUUCCCGGUGUAGCGGUGGAAUGCGUAGAUAUCGGGAGGAACACCAGUGGCGAAGGCGGCCUACUGGGCACCAACU